UUUUUAAAUGGGAUCUUGUAUGAAUGGCUGAACAAAGGAGAAGCUGUUUUAAAUUUAAAUUUUGAAUUUUACUUUUAAGUGAGAAGGCUUAAAUAUUUUAAAGGGACGAUAAGACCCUAUAAAGCUUAACAUAGGACUUAUAUUUAAUUGAAUUUGAAUUAUAUUUUAAAGGUUUAAUAUAAAUUUUGUUUUGUUGGGGAGACAGAGGUAGAAAUAUUGUAGCUGCUUAAAUAAUAAACAUUUAUUUAUGGGGAGUAAUAGAUCCUUAUUAAAGAUUAAAAGAUUAAGUUACUUUAGGGAUAACAGUAUAAUUUUUUUAAAGAGUUCAUAUCGAAAAAAGAGUUUGUAACCUCGAUGUUGAAUUAAAAUAUCUAUAUAAUGUAGCUGUUAUAUAAGAA
rnacentral:rRNA from 1 species